CAGCAGCCGCGGGAAUACGUAGGUCCCGAGCGUUGUCCGGAUUUAUUGGGCGUAAAGCGCGCGUAGACGGUUUUGUAAGUCAGAUGUGAAAUCCCUGGGCUCAACCUGGGAACUGCAUUUGAUACUGCAUGGCUAGAGUAUCGAAGAGGGAAGUGGAAUUUCCGGUGUAGCGGUGAAAUGCGUAGAUAUCGGAAGGAACACCAGUGGCGAAAGCGACUUCCUGGUCGAAUACUGACGUUCAUGUGCGAAAGCGUGGGGAGCAAACAGGAUUAGAUACCCCCGUAGUCCCUGUCUCUUAUAC
rnacentral:rRNA from 1 species